rnacentral:lncRNA from 10 species
UAGGAACAAGGUCCACUCUGCUCUCUCUAGAACGAGGUAUCUGAACAGGGAACACAAGCUGCUGGCUCUAAGAUCACUGCUUCUCUAAGGAGGGGAUGGGGCUAAGGUGGAGUCUCCUCUGUCACCCAGGCUGGAGCGUAAUGGUGUGAUCUCGGGUCACUGCAACCUCCACCUCCCAGAUUCAAGUGAUUCUCCUGCCUCAGCCUCCUGAGCAGCUAGGAUUACAGGCACCUGCCACCACACCAAGCUAAUUUUUGUUUUUCGGUUUUUUUGAGAUGGAGUCUCGCUCGGUUGCCUGGCCUGGAGUGCGGUGGUGCAAUCUCGGCUCAUUGCAGCAUCCGCCUCCCCAGUUCAAGCUAUUCUCCAGCCUUAGCCUCCUGAGUAGCUGGGAUUACAGGCAUGCGCCACUGUGUCUGGCUAAUUUUUGUAUUUUUUAGUAGAGAUGGGGUUUCACCAUGUUGUCCAGGCUGAUCUCGAACUCCUGACCUCAGGUGAUUCGCCCACCUCGGCCUCUCAAAGUGCUAGGAUUACAAGCGUGAAACACUGUGCCUGGUCAAUUUGUAUGCUGUUCUCUAAGCCACUUCCUUAGAACCAUCUUCUAAUUCACUAACACUCUGUUUGUCUAUGUCCAUCUAAGAUAAUGUAUAUCUAGUUUAUUGAGGGUUUAUUACCAAUAACUUACUUUUUUCAUUUAGGAAAUUAUUUUCAGGAUUUCUAAUUGAUUCAUUUAUUUUUAAUUUUUAAAGUUUUCAUUUUGAAAUAAUUUUAGAUUUACAGAAGAGCUUCAGAGAUAGCAUAGCAAAUUCUUGUUUAUCCUCCACCCAGCUUUCCCUAAUGUUAACAGUUACGUAAUGUCUUGCAUAACUGAGACAUUUAUCAAAAGUAAGAAACUAAACUUGAUAUAAUACUAUUAACUUUAUUCAGAUUUCCUUAAUUUUUCUUUUUUCUUUUUUUCUGUUCAGAAUCCAAUCCAAGACACCAUGUUGAAUCUAGUUGUCAAGUCUCAAAUCCGUGACUGUACUCAGUCUUUCAUUGUCUCAUGACCUUGGCAUUUUUAAAGAGUACUGGGCAGGUUAUUUUGUCUAAUGUUCCUCAAUUUAGGUUUUUAUCUGAUGUUUUCUGUUAAGCUAGGGUUAUAGAUUUUGGGGAAGAAUGCUACAGAGGUAAAGUGCCCUUCUCAUCACAUCAUAUAAGGGGUUAUAAGAUAUCAGUCUGACAUUAUUAUUUAGGUUAACUUGAUCACUUGGUUAAGGUGGUAUCUCCAUUGUGCAGUUGCUAUUUUUCCCUUUCCAAAUUCUAUGCAUUAGAAGUGAGUCACUGAGUCCAGGCAAUACUGAAUAAGAGAGAAAUUGAGCUGUACUUCCCAGAGGGAGAUGAAUCAAAGAAUAUGUGUUCUUUCUUUCUUUAUUUAUUUAGAGACAGGGUCUCACUAUAUCUCCCAGGCUGUUCUCAAACCCCUGGCCUCAAAUGAUCCUCCUGUCUUGGCCUCCCACAGUGCUGGGAUUAUAGGCAUGAGCCAAUGCGCGAGAUCUCUUUUUACGUUUAUUCAAUUUGUUAUUCUUCCUUUAUCCCUUUGAGGAUCCAAGGCAUACUUGUGUUGAAGCCUUUUAUUUCUGUUGUUUUUUUCUUAGAUUGAGAGUAUCUGUGAAAAAGGUCUUUUAAAGAUUGUUCUUUUCUUUGCAUUUAUCUAUAGUGAAUUACCCUCCUAAUUAUGGAGGAUUUUACUUUGUUUGUUUUUUUGGUUGGUUUUUUUUUUUUUUUUUUUUUUGGUGUUGGUGUUGGGGAAUUUGUCCUGUCUACAAUUAAUUUUAAUAAGUUGAGGAAAUUUAUUUGCAGGUUCAUCUUAGAGUGGGAAGUUUUGCAAUUUCGUUCUGUUUUGUUUUGCUAUAACCUUCUUUCUCACUGCUCUCACCAUCCUUAUCUAGGGUUUUUGUGAAUUCAGUCAUGGCCCUGUAUGUUUGGCACAGAUCCUGGUUUUGUGGCCAUGUCUAUGUUGGCCUGGUUCCUGGGUAUGAGAGUUACAAAAGCUGCUGUCCCAGGCAGCAGAGGGCAGCAGCUUGUUUCAGCCUCUUUUUCUCACCUCAGCCCCUAGUUUUAUGAACUAAAACAGAUUCCAAGCCACUCUGACUGGAGCAUUUUCCUCUAUUAGAUUACUUUUUUUACUUUGAAAAAAAUUUUUUUUUUUUUUUGGAGAGUGGGUCUCACUCUGUUGCGCAGGCUGGAGUGCAGUGGUGCAAUUGUAGCUCACUGCAACCUCCACCUCCCCAGGCUUAGGUGAUUCUCCACCUCAGCCUCCCAAGUAGCUGGGACUACAGAUGCACGCCACCAUGCCCAGCUAAUUUUCGUAUUUUUUUGUAUAAACAGGGUUUCAUCAUGUUGCUCAGACUAGUCUCGAACUCCUGGCCUCAAGUGAUCCACCCAUCUCUACCUCCCAAAGUGCUAUGAUUACAGGUGUGAACCACCAUGCCCAGCCAAAAAUGAUGUUUUUAAUAGAUACAAAAAUAAAAUAGGUAAGUUCUCAUAAAAUUACUAUAUUUAAACAAUAGGGGCCAGGCGCAGUGGCUCACACCUGUAAUCCCAGCACUUUGGGAGGCUGAGGCAGGCGGAUCUUUGAGGUCAGGAGUUCAAAACCAGCCUGGCCAACAUGGUGAAAUCCCAUCUCUACUAAAAACACAAAAGAAUAGCCAGGCAGGGUGAUGGGCACCUGUAAUCCCAACUACUUGGGAGGAUGAGGCAGGAGAAUUGCUUGAGCCCGGGAGGCGGAGGUUGCAGUGAGCCGAGAUCGUGCCAUUGCACUCCAGCCUGGACAACAGAGCAAGACUCUGUCUCAGAAAGCAAACAAACAAACAAACAAAAAACCAACAGGGAAAAAUUUAUGUCUGCAAUUUUAUUUCAAUAAAUAAGCACACAAGUAGGUGGUAAGAAUACACACACAGAGAGGGAACAUCACAAUAUUUAUUGCAUUUAUUUCUUGGAAAUGGUUUUUGAUUGUUGUUUUGAGACAGGUCUCACUGCAAACUGCACAUCCUGGGCUCUAAAAAACCUCUAACCUCAGCCCCACCCCCAAUAGCUGGGACUACAAGUGCACACCACCACACCUGGCUAAUUUUUUUUUUUUUUUUAGCGUGUAACCUUUUUUUUUUUUUUUUAAUUUAUUUAUUUUUUAUUGAUCAUUCUUGGGUGUUUCUCACAGAGGGGGAUUUGGCAGGGUCACAGGACAAUAGUGGAGGGAAGGUCAGCAGAUAAACAAGUGAAC